UGGGGAANAUUGGGCAAUGGGCGCAAGCCUGACCCAGCAACGCCGCGUGAAGGAAGAAGGCUUUCGGGUUGUAAACUUCUUUUCUCAGGGACGAACAGAUGACGGUACCUGAGGAAUAAGCCACGGCUAACUACGUGCC
rnacentral:rRNA from 1 species